rnacentral:rRNA from 1 species
GGCGUAAAGAGCUCGUAGGCGGUUUGUCGCGUCUGCUGUGAAAUCCGGAGGCUCAACCUCCGGCCUGCAGUGGGUACGGGCAGACUAGAGUGCGGUAGGGGAGAUUGGAAUUCCUGGUGUAGCGGUGGAAUGCGCAGAUAUCAGGAGGAACACCGAUGGCGAAGGCAGAUCUCUGGGCCGUAACUGACGCUGAGGAGCGAAAGGGUGGGGAGCAAACAGGCUUAGAUACCCUGGUAGUCCACCCCGUAAACGUUGGGAACUAGUUGUGGGGUCCAUUCCACGGAUUCCGUGACGCAGCUAACGCAUUAAGUUCCCCGCCUGGGGAGUACGGCCGCAAGGCUAAAACUCAAAGGAAUUGACGGGGGCCCGCACAAG